AGAGUUUGAUCCUGGCUCAGGAUGAACGCUGGCGGCAUGCCUAAUACAUGCAAGUCGAACGAGGGUCCUUCGGGACUCGAGUGGCGAACGGGUGAGUAACACGUAGGGAACCUGCCCGUGCGACCGGGAGAACUUUCGGAAACGGAAGCUGAUACCGGAUAGGGACAGAGACGGCAUCGACUCUGUGUUAAAGGAGCUGAAAGGCUCCGCGCACGGAUGGACCUGCGGUGCAUUAGCUAGUUGGUGAGGUAACGGCCCACCAAGGCGACGAUGCAUAGCCGGCCUGAGAGGGCGGACGGCCACACUGGGACUGAGACACGGCCCAGACUCCUACGGGAGGCAGCAGUAGGGAAUUUUCGUCAAUGGGCGCAAGCCUGAACGAGCAAUGCCGCGUGAACGAGGAAGGUCUUCGGAUCGUAAAGUUCUGUUGAAGGGGAAAAAGAGCGGAGAGAGGAAAUGGUCUCCGAUUGAUAUUACCCUUCGAGGAAGUCACGGCUAACUACGUGCCAGCAGCCGCGGUAAUACGUAGGUGGCGAGCGUUAUCCGGAAUGAUUGGGCGUAAAGGGUGCGUAGGCGGCCUGCUAAGUCUGGAGUGAAAGGUACCGGCUCACCCCGUACAGGCUCUGGAAACUGGCGGGCUAGAGAGCAGGAGAGGUCGUUGGAACUCCAUGUGUAGCGGUAAAAUGCGUAGAUAUAUGGAAGAACACCAGUGGCGAAGGCGGCCGCCCUGGCCUGUUUACUGACGCUGAGGCACGAAAGCGUGGGGAGCAAAUAGGAUUAGAUACCCUAGUAGUCCACGCCGUAAACGAUGAGGACCAAGUGUUGGGGAAGACCCAGUGCUGCAGUUAACGCAGUGAGUCCUCCGCCUGGGGAGUAUGCACGCAAGUGUGAAACUCAAAGGAAUUGACGGGGGCCCGCACAAGCGGUGGAGUAUGUGGUUUAAUUCGAAGCAACGCGAAGAACCUUACCAGGCCUUGACAUAGGGUGCGAAGCUAUGGAGACAUAGUGGAGGUAAACAUCCAUACAGGUGGUGCAUGGUUGUCGUCAGCUCGUGUCGUGAGAUGUUCAGUUAAGUCUGGCAACGAGCGCAACCCUCGUGAUGUGUUACCAAUAUCGAGUUAGGGACUCACAUCAGACUGCCGGUGAGAAACCGGAGGAAGGCGGGGAGGACGUCAAAUCAUCAUGCCCCUUAUGGCCUGGGCUACACACGUACUACAAUGGCGGCGACAGAGGGCAGCGAGCCUGCGAAGGCAAGCGAAUCCCCAAAAAGCCGUCCCAGUUCGGAUUGGAGUCUGCAACCCGACUCCAUGAAGUUGGAAUCGCUAGUAAUCGCGGAUCAGCAUGCCGCGGUGAAUACGUUCUCGGGCCUUGCACUCACCGCCCGUCA
rnacentral:rRNA from 1 species